UAGUAACGGCGAGUGAAGCGGGAAGAGCUCAAAUUUGAAAUCUGGCAGUCUUCGAUUGUCCGAGUUGUAAUCUAUAGAGGCGUUUUCCGUGCCGGACCGUGUCCAAGUCUCCUGGAAAGGAGUAUCAAAGAGGGUGAUAAUCCCGUACUUAACACGACCACCGGUGCUCUGUGAUACGUCUUCUACGAGUCGAGUUGUUUGGGAAUGCAGCUCAAAAUGGGUGGUGAAUUCCAUCUAAAGCUAAAUAUUGGCGAGAGACCGAUAGCGAACAAGUACCGUGAGGGAAAGAUGAAAAGCACUUUGGAAAGAGAGUUAAACAGUACGUGAAAUUGUUGAAAGGGAAACGAUUGAAGUCAGUCGUGUUCUUUGGAUUCAGCCAGUUCUGCUGGUCUACUUCCUUGGAACGGGUCAACAUCAGUUUUGUCCGGUGGAUAAAGGUAGUAGGAAUGUGACUUCUCCGGAAGUGUUAUAGCCUAUUAUCACAUACACUGGGUGAGACUGAGGACUGCAGCUCGCCUUUAUGGCCGGCCUUCGC
rnacentral:rRNA from 1 species